rnacentral:lncRNA from 1 species
GGAGCCUGGGUUUCCACAAGCUACAUACAAGGUCUAUAAACGGUCACCUGAGCGUCUACUUCUUGUGAAUGUUGAAUUUUAUUCAUUGGAAUAUUCCCAACUUCAACGUCUGUCAAACUCCAUCUUCACCUUCUCGAUUUACAGGAGCACAUUGAAACUGAGAGUGACAAGGGCCAUUUUGGACCCUAUGAUUGUGCCCCUCUUGGAACCCCUCCACCCCAAAUCCCACCCAGGGUAGUGGAGAGAAAAUGAUGAAUACACCCUUCCUCAUGCCAACAUGCUUGCUCACCAGAGAGAAGAAGAAAGGUGUAAAAGGUGGUGUUUUCAUGAAAGGGGAGAUGUAUUGUGAUGAGGAAACUUGGUUUCCAUAUUCAGUUUCUGUUUCUUCUAGUCGCCAUUGGAAUUAGGUAAUGAAAUUAUGAGUUUCAAGAUGACUUAACAAAGCUGCUAGGGAAAUGCAUCAAGCUUGAAUUCUAUGCCUUCAGCCUAAGAGGGGAUCCACACUCCUCACCUGCCAUUUGUCCAGUGGCAGAUGUGUGAAAUAUUUGGAGGAGAGGAACCUAAUAGUUGGGAGUGAAAUAUUAGAUGCAUUUCGGUUGUGCAUGAAUUUCUCCCCUGCCUAUUAUCUAAGCCUAGGCAUAGGUUGAAUCAUGAAGAAAUGGCACAUAUCUGUGAUUUUAUUUUUAUUUCUUUGCAUCUAUAGAUGUCUUCUUGCACCAAACUGAAAAACAGCACAAAAAUAUAAUACUUUCUUUACAGAGUUAUGAUUUUACAAAAGCAUGCUGGUAAUAUUGAGCCCUGUGUUGCCGUAAAUGGGGAAAGGCAUGUCUUCAUUCAGACUAUUAUAACAAAAUAUCCUGCACUAGGAGGAUUCAACAAUAAACAUUUAUUUCCCAUGGUUCUGGAGGCCAGAAAGUCCAAUCAAGGUGCCAGAAGGUUCAUUGUCUGGUGAGGGUCCACUUCUUGAUUGGAAGAUGGUAUCUUUUCACCGUCACAUGGCCUUUCUUUGACACAUGCAUACAGAGAGAGAGCUCUAUCUUCACCUUCUUAGAAGGACACUAAUCCUUUCAUAAGUGAUCCACCCUCAUAAUCUAACUAAACCUAACUACCUCCCAAAGGCUGUACCUUUAAUUACCAUCACAUUGGGAGUUGAAGCUUCAACAUGAAUUUGGGGAGAACACAAAUGUUCAGCCCAUAACAAGGCACAGUCCUCCCAGUGAACGUUAGCAAGUGCUAAAAGGCUUCUAACAUCAAUGACUGACGUAAUGCAAGAUCACUUUUAUUCUAAGAAUGGACAAUCAACAAUUAUUUAGUGAUGUAUGAUAACAAAAAUACUAUUUUCUGGAGCAUUUUAAUUCCAUAUGACAGCUAGGAAACAAUAGACAGGUAAGUUUAAAUGGUCAGUCUUCCAGGAAGUUACAUAUGACAAUAGACAUUAGUUCUAUAGCUCAUGAGAAAAAGAUAAUAAGUCAUCUUUCAGCUAAGACAGCCAAAUGUUUUUUUUAACCAUUUUUGUGCCUUGGACCCCUUUGGCACUUGGUGAAAUCUAUAGAACCCUUCUCAGAAUAAAGCCUUGAAGUGUAUGAGAUAAGAUAUACUGGAAUACCAAGAAAUUAUACUGAAAUAGAGGUUUAUCCCUAGAACUUUGGGUUCCAUGCACCAUAGAUUAAGAACCCCAUGUGCUUGAAGCCCAGAAGAUGGAAUAAUAAAAGGGAAUAAUAAAAAUGGAAAGCAGUAUUUUUCACGUGUUGUAAUUCCUGUAUUACUAGGCAAGGUGGAGAUGAAAUACAGAGUUCUGAAUUGAUCAAGAAAUAGCCUAAGAGCUUAUUGCAGUGCUUGGGAAGAGAGAGUUCCUGAGACGGAUCAAAACUGUCUGCGGAAGCCAUAGCUCCUUUCAUUGAUUCCCCUCCCUCUUAGGAGCAUUCUUGGUGUUUUCCAUUAUUAGGUGUUUUUGUUUUUCUCUUGGAUAUGUUCUCUUCUUGCUGUACCUAUUUCCAAUUCCACAUUUAUAGAAUCAAAGUAACCAAUUAAAUGAUGUUCUAUGAAAGUUAAAAACUUAAAAUGUAAAUAUAAGGGAUGAAUGGCGCAUAUUCAUCUCCAAGUGGUUUUGAAGCACCUGUCACAUUGGCUGCUGCUCUGGCUGCUGGAAUGACAGGUAGUUGGAGAUAAGGUUCCUGCCCGUAAGAAGUUUAAAAUCUGGAGGCAGCAACAAGAUUCCCAAGGAGAUGAUUUCCAAAAGCACAAUUACUGAUUUUUUAAAAAACUUGUUUUCUCAAAUGUUGCAACUUUAAUAGAGGGUUAUGAUAUGUGUCUUCCAUAAUUCUGGGUUCUUUUCUAUAGAAAAUAUGUCAUCUUUUGGUUUAAAAAAAAUCUGCCUGUUCAAGAAGCUAAAGUGAGUUUUUCCUAGAGAUGCUAAGCAGAGCAUUAUAGGCCAAGUAUUCCUUCCCUGCCUUUGGGCAGGACAUUCUCAGACUUCACAAAUAGAAUGAAAUAUGCUUGAUUCCUUUUUUUUUUAACAUUACACAACAAAGUCUUCUCAAUUUUAAC